GAUGAACGCUGGCGGCGUGCCUAAUACAUGCAAGUCGAGCGAACGGACGAGAAGCUUGCUCCUCUGAUGUUAGCGGCGGACGGGUGAGUAACACGUGGAUAACCUACCUAUAAGACUGGGAUAACUUCGGAAAACCGGAGCUAAUAUCGGAUAAUAUUUUGAACCGCAUGGUUCAAAAGUGAAAGACGGUCUUGCUGUCACUUAUAGAUGGAUCCGCGCUGCAUUAGCUAGUUGGUAAGGUAACGGCUUACCAAGGCAACGAUGCAUAGCCGACCUGAGAGGGUGAUCGGCCACACUGGAACUGAGACACGGUCCAGACUCCUACGGGAGGCAGCAGUAGGGAAUCUUCCGCAAUGGGCGAAAGCCUGACGGAGCAACGCCGCGUGAGUGAUGAAGGUCUUCGGAUCGUAAAACUCUGUUAUUAGGGAAGAACAUAUGUGUAAGUAACUGUGCACAUCUUGACGGUACCUAAUCAGAAAGCCACGGCUAACUACGUG
rnacentral:rRNA from 1 species